UACGGAGGGUGCAAGCGUUAUCCGGAUUCACUGGGUUUAAAGGGUGCGUAGGCGGGCAGGUAAGUCAGAGGUGAAAUCUCCGAGCUUAACUCGGAAACUGCCUUUGAUACUAUCUGUCUUGAAUAUGGUGGAGGUAAGCGGAAUAUGUCAUGUAGCGGUGAAAUGCUUAGAGAUGACAUAGAACACCCAUUGCGAAGGCAGCUUACUACGCCUAUAUUGACGCUGAGGCACGAAAGCGUGGGGGAUCAAACAGG
rnacentral:rRNA from 1 species